UACGUAGGGUGCAAGCGUUGUCCGGAAUUAUUGGGCGUAAAGAGCUCGUAGGCGGUUUGUUGCGUCGGCUGUGAAAUCCCGAGGCUCAACCUCGGGUCUGCAGUCGAUACGAGCAAACUAGAGUGUUGCAGGGGAGACUGGAAUUCCUGGUGUAGCGGUGAAAUGCGCAGAUAUCAGGAGGAACACCGAUAGCGAAGGCAGCUCGCUGGGACGGUACUGACGCUGAGGCGCGAAAGCGUGGGGAGCAAACAGG
rnacentral:rRNA from 1 species